rnacentral:lncRNA from 1 species
GACAAUCCCAAUUAAUAUUUUUUUUGCCCUUGGGUUCAAAGCCAAAAAUGUGGAGAUCCAGUAGAAAAGGGUCUUUAUAUAAUAAAUACUUUGUUAGGGUUUAAUUGCAAAACACCCCUAAACUAAAUUAACUCAACAUGGUCUGGUUCAGUCAAUUGUCAAAAGGGCUUAAUUGAAUAUAGCCUUUAUCAAGGGCCUAAAUGCAAGA